rnacentral:lncRNA from 1 species
UUUUUUUUUUUUUUUUUUUUUUCCUUUUGUGGAGAACGGGGUCUCGCUCUAUUACCCAGGCAGGUCUCGAACUCCUGGACUCAAGCUAUCCUCCCGCCUCUGCCUCCCUGAGAGCUGAGAUUACAGGCGUGAGCCACCGCGCCCGGAGGUACCAGCUCUUCUUUGUACAGCUGGUAGGAUUCAGCUGUGAAUCCGUCAGGCCCUGGGCUUUUUUUGGUUGGUAGGCUAUUUAUUACUGAUUCAAUUUCAGAGCUCAUUAUUGGUCUGUUCAGGGAAUCAAUUUUUUCCUGGUUCAGUCUUAGGAGGGUAUAUGUGUCCAGAAAUUUAUCCAUGUCUUCUAGGUCUUCUAGCUUGUGUGGAGCCUCUACUAUUAGAAAUUACCAUAUAAGACUUUAAAAAGAGGGCAUCAUGAGAACACAGGAACCAUGUGUCAUUCAUCAGAAACUGCAACUACAGAGACAGUUGGCUUCAGUGAUGAUUAACUUUAUGUGUUAAGUUGAUUGGACUAAGGGAUGCCCAGAGAGCUAAUAAAACAUUAUUUCUGGAUGUGUUUGUAAUGGUGUUUCUAGAAGAGAUUAGCAUUUGAAUCAGCAGACUGAGUAAACAAGAUUGCCCUCACCAGUGUGAGUGAGUGUCAUCCAAUCUGUUGAGGCCCGAGUAGAACAACAGGGCAGAGUAAAGGUGUAACAAAACAAAACAAAACAACAACAACAUCUGACCAAUCAGAUAUAAACUGGGGUUUCUACCAUUCCUCCUCAGGUUCAAUUAAUUUGAUAAGAUAGCUCUCACAGAGCUCAGGAAAAUACUUACAAUUGCCCAUUUAUUUACUUAUUUAUUUAUUUAAGUAGUCAUUAUUGGAUACCCAUUUACUCUAAAGAAUAUCACAGCCAGGUGCAAUGGCUCAUGCCUGGAAUCUCAGAACUUUGGGAGGCCAAGGCAGGAGGAUCAGACCAGUCUCAGGGGUUUAAAACCACCCUGGGCAAUAUGGCAAAACCCCAUCUCUACAAAAAAUUUAAAAAGUAGCCAGGCAUAGAGGCACACACCUGUGGUUCCAGCUACCCAUGAGGCUGAGGUAGAAGGAUCACUUGAGGCCAGGAGGUUAGGGAUGCAGUGAGUCAAGAUCAUACCACUGCACUCCAGCCUGGGCAACAGAGCAAGGCCCUGCCUCAAUAAAAUAAAAUUAAAAUUAAAUUAAGUUAAAUAAAAAGGGAUUUCACAGAGGAUACAGAUGAGCAGCCACAUGGAAGAGAUGCAUAGGGCAAGGCAUGAGGGAAGAGCACGGAGCUUUCAUGCUGUCUCCAGGCCCACUACCCUCCAAGCACCUUCACGUGUUCAGCUAUUUGGAAGCUCUCCAAACCAAUUCCUUUUGGGUUUUUAUGGAAGCUUCAUUGUAUAAGCAUAAUUGAUUAAAUCAUUGGCCAUUGGUGACCAACUCAAGCUUUAACCCAUCUCCACUCCUGAGAGGUUGGGGGUGGGACUGAAAGUUCCAACCCUCUAAUCAUGCC